GGUUUGGCACCUCGAUGUCGGCUCAUCACAUCCUGGGGCUGAAUUCGGUCCCAAGGGUUCGGCUGUUCGCCGAUUAAAGUGGCACGCGAGCUGGGUUCAGAACGUCGUGAGACAGUUCGGUCCCUAUCUGUUGCGGGCGUAAGAGAUUUGAAGGGAGCUGUCCUUAGUACGAGAGGACCGGGAUGGACGUACCUCUGGUGCACCAGUUGUCCUGCCAAGGGCAUAGCUGGGUAGCUAUGUACGGACGAGAUAAACGCUGAAAGCAUCUAAGCGUGAAACUCCCCCUAAGAUGAGAUCUCUCAUCCUUCAAGGAGUAAGGACCCAGAAAGACGAUCUGGUUGAUAGGCCGAAGGUGGAAGCGCAGUAAUGUGUGCAGCUGAUCGGUACUAAUAGUCCGAGGGCUUGACCUA
rnacentral:rRNA from 1 species